UACGAAGGGGGCUAGCGUUGCUCGGAAUCACUGGGCGUAAAGGGCGCGUAGGCGGCCAUUCAAGUCAGAGGUGAAAGCCCAAGGCUCAACCUUGAAACUGCCUUUGAUACUGUUUGGCUUGAGACCGGUAGAGGUAAGUGGAACUCCGAGUGUAGAGGUGAAAUUCGUAGAUAUUCGGAAGAACACCAGUGGCGAAGGCGGCUCACUGGCCCGGUACUGACGCUGAGGUGCGAAAGCGUGGGGAGCAAACAGGG
rnacentral:rRNA from 1 species